rnacentral:sRNA from 1 species
AGCUGGGCAACAUCACUGAAACCACCAAGUUUGAAAAGUUGGCGGAGGACUGUAAGCGGAGCAUGGACAUUCUGAAGCAAGCCUUCGCCCGGGGUCUCCCCACGCCCACCGCCCGCUUUGAGCAAAGGACCUUCAGCGUCAUCAAGAUCUUCCCUGACCUCAGCAGCAACGACAUGCUCCUCUUCAUCGUGAAGGGCAUCAACUUGCCCACACCCCCAGGUGAGGGGGCUGCAGGCAGGGGUCAGGGUCAUGGGGACCCCCUCUCUGCCCAGCUCUGACCCUUGUUUGCCCACAGGACUGUCCCCUGGCGAUCUGGAUGUCUUUGUUCGGUUUGACUUCCCCUAUCCCAACGUGGAAGAAGCUCAGAAAGACAAGACCAGUGUGAUCAAGAACACAGACUGCCCUGAGUUCAAGGAGCAGUUCAAACUCUGCAUCAACCGCAGCCACCGUGGCUUCCGAAGGGCCAUCCAAAUCAAGGGCAUCAAGUUCGAAGUGGUUCACAAGGGGGGGCUGUUCAAGACUGACCGGGUGCUGGGGACAGCCCAGCUGAAGCUGGAUGUACUGGAGACAGCAUGUGAGGUUCGGGAGAUCCUUGAGGUGAGAGGUGGACAUUCAUCCGCACGCUCCGGUAUGGCCAUGCUACUCGUUAACAUUAUUAAAACACUUCCUGCCUUGAGCCCCCUGUGAGCCCGUCUGUUGACCCAGCCCCUCCCCUCAGAGCCCCAGACCUCCCUACUACCCAGCCCUAAAUACUUGCAGCACCCCACUCCAUUAUGAUCAACUGGUAUCUCAGCCAUACCAUGGGCUCAUAUUUUAGAAACCACUCUUGGCCAGGCACGGUGGCUCAUGCCUGUAAUCGCAGCACUUUGGGAGGCUGAGGCAGGC